GCGGGCAGUACUGGUGGUGGUGGGUGCUGCCGGGGCCGCCGCGGAGGAGGAGGAGGAGGAGGCCGCCCCGCCGCCCGCGGAGGAGGAGGAGGAGGAGGAGGCGGCGGAAGAUGCGCGGGGGCGGGGCGGCGGAGGUGAAGAAGCACGCGCGGUGGCUGAGGUUCUGGUAGCGCUAUGUGCGCCGCCGCCUGCUGUGGCAGCGGCGGCACGAGCGGGUGGAGCGGCUGACGCCGAUGCCGGCGCUGGACGCGGAGGAGAUGCGGCCGGCGGUCGAGGUCGGCCUCCGGUGGCAGCGCAGCGAGCCGGAGCGCGGGCUGAGGUGGGAGGUCGAGCGGCGGGCGGAGGCGAGGUGGGGCGUGGGGUUCCGGACCGUCGAGCGGAGCGUGUAGCGGCGGUGGCGGCGGAGGCCCCUGCGGCCGUGCCUGAGGCGGGUGUGGGAGCUGCUAGAGCAGUUCCUCAUGUAGCGGACGACGCUGGGGCGGUCGGUCGUGUUGGCCUUGCUAGCGUCCCGGUUCCCCCUGUGGUCGUUGUGGCUGGCGGUGCGGCUCCUGAUGGAGCUGUAGAAGCAGGUCAGGCCGCGGCGGUAGCGCGACCAAGCGGAGAUGGAGAGGCUAAAGAGGAAGAGGGCGAGGAUGCGGCUCGCGCGGUAGUCCACGAAGGAGUCGUGGCUGGGACGGUGGAACGGCGGAUUACAGUACGAGCAGUGCCGCGGCCACGACGAGCUCAAGACGGCGGACGAGCGAAACUGGCGCCCGUUAUUCCUAAGCGAGAUGUUCAGUACGGCAAUGUGUGAACGUAGCCACGAGACGAACGGUGAGAGCCACGAGCCACGGAGGUUUAGCGGGUGGUUCCACUAGCUCGUCCAGGAGGGCAAACGGUCUCUCUAACAACUUGACCAGGACUUACCUGAACCUAGUCUCUGGUACGACCACGGUUCCUGUCUGGAACUCCUCGAGAGUUUGAAGAAAUUUCAGGACGCGGUCGUCCAUGAGGAAACCUACGGACUGCCCAGUUACGGUUUCUUAUACAUGUCGUCCCUCACAUUCGCUUGACUGUGUACCCAUACCCUCAACGUGCUUUACAGCUACUUGGACGAGUUUUCCCACCUACUCACAGAGUUCUCCAACCUUUACCUAGAAAGUAGAAACAGUAGACUGUGAUCCCCCCAGUAUCUUUUAGUUGGAUAGACCCAGUGGGCUAAUGUAUAGGAACGGUAUAACUGUCUUGACCUAAAGUAGAGUCCCUAUAAGCUCCUACACCGUGUGUUGGACGCCAAGCACAACGACCGUGUGUUUCGUGGAGAGUUACGCGAGCACGCGACAAGGUUCUCCUUGCUCGUAGAGGUGACCGAGUUCUUCGUAUUCCUAGACGAGACGAAGCUUCGUUCUUCCUUGAACCAGAAUUACAACAAAAGACUCCCCUUCCUACUGAUACCCCUCGACGUACUCUACAACUAGCUGGCCAGUGCAAAUGACCUACUCAGGAAACUCAUGUAGUGUGUCCGUUUCGGGUCACUCGAAGUGUCACCAGACAAAUACCUCAAAUUCUUACUCCUCCGAUGACCGGGACCACAAGAGUCCCUCACCAAGACGUACCACAGAGUUCGAGACAAGUCGGGUGUCGUUCAUGAGAAGAACGGAACAGGAUUACUAGUUGCCUCCAAGAUGAACUUACCUUGUAGACAACAACUAGGUGACGUGGACUUUAUGAAGCAAAAAAGCCCUGCUCAUUAACCUAAUCGUAACUACGUAUUUCACGUUCAUCCCUAUCAAAACCUGGCGUGGAAUAAAAACAUAGAACGACCCUCUUCAUAAUGUAACCUUCUGUAAAGACGACGUCUGGGAAAGUGCAUACGUUCGACAUUUUCUUAAGAUCUCUACCCACGACGGCUCUAACUACUAAAUUGAAAUUGUAAAAGGGCUCUACAAGUAUGGAAUCCCAGAGCUUUCUGAUAACUCGAAACGUUUCCUCCCGUCCUAUAGAGACACUUGUAGUCAUUGUCUCUCGUGAUGUAACUAGAAGAAUAAUUCUUAUAGAAACAACUGAGAUAAAGACUAGUCGAUCGAUUAAAGCGUUUUCCUAAACCGCUGUAUAAUCGAUUAGGCUUUGAGGCCCUCCAUAAAAAGCCCACAAACCUAGAUCUUCUGAAACUGGCUUACGAACCCCCUUCGUUGUUGUGAUAUUUAGACUUUCUAACCUCUAGUGUAUGAGUUAUAUUACCGAUGUUUCUUUUUCUAGCGGUACAAUUGACCAAGACCUUCCGGCACCUCUCGUACUGUCAGCUCGUUGUCUCCGUCGAGGAGAAGAAGACCUGGAGGCACUUUAUAAACGGGAGCCUUCCGAAACCACCCGACUCGAGUUUCGACAUGUAUAUGUUCUGUUGCCUCAGUCGGCUGGUAGAGGGCAGCAGCGUAUGUACGAAGAUGGCGGAGACGGAGGGGUGUAUGGGCAGGGAGUUCCACUACGUCUCGGUCGACGUCUUCUAGUGUGUCCUCGUACACUCGACGUCGAAGCCAUGCACCAUCCUACGAACCGACACCCUUUGGGUUUCACCAUGUAAAACAUGUAUAGCUCAAUCGUUGUUGGGAAUAGAUAGAGUAAAUUUUAGAUAACGAUCAUCUCGAAUUUUUAAUCCGACGGCACCAAACUAAACAUACAUACCUUUCAAUCGCAGGGGCCAGCAAAUUGGAAUUACAUCCACCUUAGUCUUCUCACGUUCCAAGUAAAAGAAGUGGGUAGGACA
rnacentral:rRNA from 1 species